GUCUCAUGUGGCGUCAUCUUGUAAUGGUCAUUGUGACGUCAAAGCACUGGAAUGUACUUUUGGAGAAGCAUGCUGCUCUUGGAAAUCUCGAGGUUUGCCUUGUCCUGAGUAGAUUGAUCACAUGGGAUACAGAAGACAGAAGGACUCCUCUCACCCUGUACCGAGGCUGCAAUAGGACAUCUAAAACCUUUACUAUCCCUGUGGGAAUAUGUACAACCAUCCACCUCUCCAGGACAAAGGAUGUCAGAACUGAUACAGAGUCUGGAACAAUGCCAACCCCAGAGAGAGGCUGUCUGGAAUGUCUUUUACCUUGUUGUUUUUUAUUAUCACGGGACACAAACAAGCAAACAAGAAGAUGUUAUCAGAUAUGUUUGUUUGGAUGAAAGGGAGAAACCCAGAGGGCUUUCCUUCUGACCAGGCUCUUCUCUACACUAUGAGCUGAUUGACCCCUCUCUGCCCCCCUCCAAA
ensembl:lncRNA